UGGGGAAUAUUGGACAAUGGGGGAAACCCUGAUCCAGCCAUGCCGCGUGAGUGAUGAAGGCCCUAGGGUUGUAAAGCUCUUUUACCCGGGAAGAUAAUGACUGUACCGGGAGAAUAAGCUCCGGCUAACUCCGUGCCAGCAGCCGCGGUAAUACGGAGGGAGCUAGCGUUGUUCGGAAUCACUGGGCGUAAAGCGCGCGUAGGCGGCUUUUCAAGUCAGAGGUGAAAUCCCGGGGCUUAACCCCGGAACUGCCUUUGAAACUGGAAAGCUAGAAUCUUGGAGAGGUGAGUGGAAUUCCGAGUGUAGAGGUGAAAUUCGUAGAUAUUCGGAAGAACACCAGUGGCGAAGGCGACUCACUGGACAAGUAUUGACGCUGAGGUGCGAAAGCGUGGGGAGCAAACAGGAUUAGAUACCCCCGUAGUCC
rnacentral:rRNA from 1 species